AUGAACACCUGCCGGUGAGAAAACGCAAUCUCAAGUCACACUUUUUAUACACCCCAAAUAAGCGAACCAAAGAAUGUGGAUCUUACCGGGUUCCUCCUGGUCUCCAGUAUGGUCAGUUUCCAUGCGCUGAAAAAAGGGAACAAAAACAACAGUACAUAAUGGACAAUGGUGAUGGUUUGCUGUUUUUAUUGCACAUUAUUUUAAGCUGCUACUUGUUCUGUUUAAUGGCAAUUUGGAUGAUGUUAGUUGGUGUUGUUUUUUUGGGGGGUAGGUGCUGCUGUUUUGUUUAGCAACUGGGUUCAAAUGCGCAGUCAACUCUUGUGUCUGUUUGCAUUCUACGAGUACGAUACUGUAUCUCUGUCUUCGAGGCAGUUUGCUUGUGUUUCAAUAGGUGCUGCUGCUUAGGUUAGCAACAGCGGUCAAAGAGGCUCUGCGGUGAACUCUGCGAUACCUACAUGGACUCAUCCUCGCUGUUGGCGCACAGGUUCAUCGUUGAGCUGUCCUUGAAUUGCACCACGAUGAUGUUCUCGCGGGGGUUCGUCUCAGGCCGCAGCGCACAUCUGCGCAUGUGAGCUUGAGGUUGACGCGGUGCACCAGCUCUCGACGGCUGUCGCUCUUGUAGAAGCAAAAGCUGCCAUCCACCCAGAGGUCACACCAGUUCAACUUCCAGCGUUUCAGCACAGACGCUACACGGUGGGAAGCAUGACCGAACAUUCCAAGAAUAAGUAACGCUUGGUUUGUUAUCAUCAGCACCCAAUGUACUCACUCUGUCUCCAAAGCCAGCCUGACCUCAUGAGUGCCAUGUUGGUCACCUGUGGUCCAAUUACAGCUAGAGGAACAGGAACAAAAUGUUCUUUCUUUUUACCUACAAUGGAACAGAUAGUGUUCCCCUGCUUGUUUAUUUUGCGUCUGACAGAUUAUCCUUUCUCCUGUCUCGAUUGAGUCACAGGAUAAUUCUGGAUUAGGCGAGCGCUUGCUCGGGCACCCCCACUUUUUCGCUUCCUUUUCACCUGGGUUAAUUUCCUCUAAACCAACACACAAACUUGGAUAAGAUAUUCUUGUGACACAACCAGCCAAAGUAGUAUGUCUUAUGUUUUGUUGACGAUAUUGUUGUCACAGAAUAUAGUAUAUAAAAUGACAUAACACCAGGAUUAGCCCAUUUCUAAAUGUCAGUUACACGACUAUUCCAAGUAUGCAUGCAAGUCUUCCCUGUUACACUGUUUUAUGUUAAUGUAUUGUGUCUUGCGCUAGAAUCUGUUUUGUUUUGAAGUUGCGGGAGGAGGAGAACCAUGCAAGUUUAAAUCCGUUUUAAAUUUUGUAUUUCCGGUACAGUGUUUACAGCGGCAGCAAAAAUGAAGUCACUGUUUUAGAGCUGUUGGGGGGGAAAUUUUGAUUUAUUAUUAACUAUUGCUUGCAAAAACACAUUUUUUAGUUUUGUUUUGAUUAAACGCGAGGAGGAUGGAAACUCCUUUUAGAAAAUACAUGACGUCAUUUCCACAACAGUGGACCCUAACUCUCAGCAGACAAAUAUAAAA